UACGUAGGGUGCGAGCGUUGUCCGGAAUUAUUGGGCGUAAAGAGCUUGUAGGCGGUCUGUCGCGUCUGCUGUGAAAAUCCGGGGCUCAACCCCGGACUUGCAGUGGGUACGGACAGACUAGAGUGUGGUAGGGGAGACUGGAAUUCCUGGUGUAGCGGUGAAAUGCGCAGAUAUCAGGAGGAACACCGAUGGCGAAGGCAGGUCUCUGGGCCACUACUGACGCUGAGAAGCGAAAGCAUGGGGAGCGAACAGG
rnacentral:rRNA from 1 species